rnacentral:rRNA from 1 species
UAGGGAAUCUUCGGCAAUGGACGGAAGUCUGACCGAGCAACGCCGCGUGAGUGAAGAAGGUUUUCGGAUCGUAAAGCUCUGUUGUAAGAGAAGAACGAGCGUGAGAGUGGAAAGUUCACACUGUGACGGUAUCUUACCAGAAAGGGACGGCUAACUACGUGCCAGCAGCCGCGGUAAUACGUAGGUCCCGAGCGUUGUCCGGAUUUAUUGGGCGUAAAGCGAGCGCAGGCGGUUAGAUAAGUCUGAAGUUAAAGGCUGUGGCUUAACCAUAGUAGGCUUUGGAAACUGUUUAACUUGAGUGCAAGAGGGGAGAGUGGAAUUCCAUGUGUAGCGGUGAAAUGCGUAGAUAUAUGGAGGAACACCGGUGGCGAAAGCGGCUCUCUGGCUUGUAACUGACGCUGAGGCUCGAAAGCGUGGGGAGCAAACAGGAUUAGAUACCCUGGUAGUCCACGCUGUAAACGAUGAGUGCUAGGUGUUAGACCCUUUCCGGGGUUUAGUGCCGUAGCUAACGCAUUAAGCACUCCGCCUGGGGAGUACGACCGCAAGGUUG